AGCGAGAAAGAUCUCUUUUGCAUUUUCGCCCAAAGCCGGGCCAACAUCGACCUCAAGGCCAAUGUCUAAAGCAGUGGACUCCACUGAAUCCUGACUUAGAGGCAGAUGAGAAGAAUUUGCAUCUGAUUCCAACAUGCCCUCACUACUGAUGGCCAAGCGAGAAGAAACCUCAGGCAAGCUGAGAUGUGAGACUCCAAAUUCCGCAAAUAAGUCAUGAGAGAGGCUACUACUGACAGAGUUUCCGGCCGAAAGGUGAGAAUGGCUGACCAUAAUGCUAAGAAGAAGGAUAGGGGGAGGAAGAAAGGAGGGGGGUGAUAACAGGAGAGUGACCAGUAACGAGUUGAGAAGGACGGGAGUAAGAGAGCUAGCCGGAAAAGUUAGGUGAUUGCCGAAAAAGGUAGGUGGAGCAUAGGGGCGGGCAAAUUUUUUUGAAAAGGUAGAGAGAAGGCAGAGAGUAAACCACAGCUAGACUAGCAAACAAGAUCAACAGGGAACAGACAAAAGGAAACAGACUACAAAACAUGGACACUUUAGAUAGGCAUCAAACAAACCAAAACCAGUGCAGCCGCCGAGAAAAAUAGUACAGCUGCCAAGAAACCAACAGACUGCAGUUCUAACAGGCGUGAAGCAUAGGAAAAGUAGCAAUGCAAAGCAGACUAGCGUCCAUGAUCUCAUACCCCUCGGCCUAGAAAACUCUUUCAAUUCUUCAAUCAUAUGUUACUUCUUGAUGGAUUCAAUGACUGUGUGCUCUCUGCCUGGAGGCAACCUAUUUCUGGAAAUCC
rnacentral:lncRNA from 1 species